rnacentral:rRNA from 1 species
UACGAAGGGUGCAAACGUUGCUCGGAAUUAUUGGGCGUAAAGCGCACGUAGGCGGCUAUCUAAGUCGGAUGUGAAAUCUCGGAGCUUAACUCCGAAACUGCAUUCGAUACUGCCGUGCUUGAGGACUGGAGAGGAGACUGGAAUUUACGGUGUAGCGGUGAAAUGCGUAGAUAUCGUAAGGAAGACCAGUGGCGAAGGCGGGUCUCUGGACAGUUCCUGACGCUGAGGCACGAAGGCCAGGGGAGCAAACGGG